AUUGAACGCUGGCGGCAGGCCUAACACAUGCAAGUCGAACGGUAACAGGAAACAGCUUGCUGUUUCGCUGACGAGUGGCGGACGGGUGAGUAAUGUCUGGGAAACUGCCUGAUGGAGGGGGAUAACUACUGGAAACGGUAGCUAAUACCGCAUAACGUCGCAAGACCAAAGAGGGGGACCCUCGGGCCUCUUGCCAUCGGAUGUGCCCAGAUGGGAUUAGCUUGUUGGUGGGGUAAUGGCUCACCAAGGCGACGAUCCCUAGCUGGUCUGAGAGGAUGACCAGCCACACUGGAACUGAGACACGGUCCAGACUCCUACGGGAGGCAGCAGUGGGGAAUAUUGCACAAUGGGCGCAAGCCUGAUGCAGCCAUGCCGCGUGUAUGAAGAAGGCCUUCGGGUUGUAAAGUACUUUCAGCGGGGAGGAAGGGAGUAAAGUUAAUACCUUUGCUCAUUGACGUUACCCGCAGAAGAAGCACCGGCUAACUCCGUG
rnacentral:rRNA from 1 species